CCGACCGGGGAAGAGAGGAAAGAAAGAAGCCACCGGCCGCAGCAGCCGCCGCCGUCGCGGGGUGGCCGUAGCGGUGCCGACUUUUCCCACCAAAAAGGGGGACUUGAACCAGCUCACGCCCCGCGACCGCCACCCCACUCCGACCCCUCACCCCGCCUCCACCACCUUGGUUGUAUAUUCCUUUCCCCCUUCCUUCCUCUGCUCUCUUUCCCUCCUGCUGUCGCAUCGCUUGCUUCUCCUCCCUUUCCAGUUGUAGUGUACUACUCUCGCGUGCGCAUUCCAGCAACAACAACUCCAGCUCGCGGGAUCUUGCUGGCUGCCGGUGUAUUAUUUGGUUGGUUUGAUCCCGUGCUCGCAUGAGCGGAGAUUCGCCGGCGCCGGCGAUCGAGCUGAGCUGAGUUCGUCGUCCGUGGACUGAAUCUGUCAACAUGGGGACUCCGGUCAACAUCAUCGUCGGCUCGCAGGUCUGGCUGGAGGAUCCCGACGAGGCCUGGGUCGACGGCGAGGUCACCGGGAUCAAGGGCGCCGACGUCACCGUCGCCACCACCAAUGGCAAAACGGUUGUGGCCAGCCUCGCGAGCAUAUACCCCAAAGACACGGAAGCGCCCCCAGCAGGAGUGGACGACAUGACGAAGCUCGCUUACCUCCAUGAACCGGGAGUCCUGCAUAACCUUGCCUGCCGGUACAGCCUUAACGAGAUAUACACGUACACCGGGAACAUCUUGAUUGCAGUCAAUCCUUUCCAGAGGCUGCCCCAUCUCUACGACGUGCACAUGAUGGAGCAGUACAAAGGCGCCACCUUCGGGGAGCUCAGCCCCCAUCUUUUCGCGAUUGCAGAUUCUUGCUACAGGGCAAUGAUCAAUGAGCAUGGAAGCCAGUCAAUAUUGGUGAGCGGUGAGAGUGGUGCUGGUAAGACAGAGACGACAAAGAUGCUCAUGAGGUACCUUGCGUUCAUGGGAGGAAGGUCUGGAACCGAGGGACGAACCGUUGAGCAGCAAGUUCUAGAGUCUAACCCAGUACUGGAAGCAUUUGGUAAUGCGAAGACGGUGAAGAAUAACAACUCAAGUCGAUUUGGUAAGUUUGUUGAAAUCCAAUUUGACAAAUACGGGAAGAUAUCUGGUGCGGCCGUUCGCACAUACCUCCUUGAACGAUCACGAGUAUGCCAGGUCUCUGAUCCUGAACGGAACUACCAUUGCUUUUACAUGCUAUGCUCUGCACCACCGGAGGACGUAAAAAGGUUUAAGGUGGGAGACCCGCGAUCAUUUCAUUACCUGAACCAAACAAGCUGCUAUGAAGUAGCUAAUGUGGACGACGCAAGAGAAUACCUAGAAACAAGAAAUGCAAUGGAUAUAGUUGGAAUUUCUCAAGAAGAACAGGAUGCAAUCUUCAGAGUAGUAGCGGCAAUCCUUCAUCUAGGAAACAUUAAUUUCUCCAAAGGGAAAGAAAUUGAUUCAUCACGGUUGAGGGAUGAGAAAUCAAUCAAUCACCUGAAAACAGUGGCAGAACUGCUAAUGUGUGAUGAGAAGUUGCUUGAAGACUCUCUUUGUCAGCGUGUUAUUGUAACACCUGAUGGAAAUAUCACAAAACCCCUCGAUCCAGAUUCUGCUCUACAGAGUCGUGAUGCCUUGGCAAAGACGGUGUAUUCACGACUAUUCGACUGGAUUGUGGAUAAGAUCAAUAACUCGAUUGGUCAAGAUCCUGAUGCAAUAAGUAUAAUAGGAGUGCUGGAUAUAUAUGGAUUUGAGAGUUUCAAGGUCAACAGUUUUGAGCAACUGUGCAUCAACAUGACAAAUGAGAAAUUGCAGCAGCACUUCAAUCAGCACGUAUUCAAGAUGGAGCAAGAAGAGUAUACAAGGGAUGAAAUAGACUGGAGCUAUGUGGAAUUUGUGGAUAAUCAGGAUGUGCUGGACCUGAUUGAGAAGAAACCUGGAGGAAUAAUUGCCCUCCUGGAUGAGGCAUGCAUGUUUCCGAAGUCCACUCACGAGACAUUUGCACAAAAGAUGUAUCAAACAUACAAAUCACAUAAGCGCUUUAGCAAGCCCAAACUUGCCAGGACUGCCUUCACAAUCAAUCACUACGCAGGAGAUGUCACAUACCAAGCCGAUUAUUUUCUUGACAAGAACAAAGAUUAUGUGGUCGCUGAACAUCAAGCUCUACUAAAUUCGUCAAGGUGCUCUUUUGUUGCAAAUCUCUUUCCUCCAUUACCAGAGGAAAGUUCUAAACAGUCCAAAUUCUCUUCCAUCGGUACUCGCUUUAAGCAACAACUCCAAGCCCUGAUGGAAACAUUGAGUACGACAGAACCACACUACAUUAGAUGUGUGAAGCCUAAUACUGUACUGAAACCUGGCAUCUUCGAGAACGACAAUGUCUUGAAUCAAUUGAGAUGUGGGGGUGUUUUGGAAGCAAUCCGGAUCAGUUGUGCUGGCUAUCCGACGAAGAGAACAUUUGAUGAGUUCAUUGAUCGAUUCGGAGUGCUUGCACCAGAGCUUGUGGACAGUUCUGACGAGAAGACAGCUUGUGCAGCAAUAUGUGAUAAAAUGGGAUUGAAGGGAUACCAGAUAGGAAAAACAAAGGUAUUCCUAAGAGCUGGCCAGAUGGCAGAGCUGGAUGCCAGAAGAGCAGAAGUAUUGGCCAAUGCUGUGCGACUUAUCCAGAGGCGUAUAAGAACGCAUCUUAUGCGAAAGGAAUUCGUCAGCUUAAAAAAGGCUUCCAUUCAAACUCAAAAGUUCUGGAGAGCACGACUAGCUAGAAAGCUUUUUGAGCACAUGAGAAGAGUCGCUGCUGCAAUUACAAUACAGAAGCACACCCGUACUCAUUCUGCCUGGAAAGCUUACCUACAAAUAUACAGAUCAUCAAUAACAAUACAGACAGGAUUACGUGCAAUGGCUGCUCGUAAGGAGCACAGGUUCAGAAGAGAGACCAAAGCGACCAUCAUCAUCCAGACUCGAUGGCGCCAACACAAAGCCUAUGUUGCUUACAAACUGCAAAAAAGAGCUUCUCUAAUUCUCCAGUGCUCGUGGAGGGGACGUGUUGCAAGGAAGGAACUUCGGAAGCUCAAAAUGGAAGCAAGAGAUAAUGGUGCACUUAAAGAAGCCAAAGACAAGCUGGAAAAGAGAGUUGAGGAACUCACAUGGAGAUUAGAUGUUGAGAAGCAUUUGAGGGUUGACCUUGAGGUAGCCAAGGGACAAGAAAUUACAAAGUUACAAUCUGCGUUGCAAGAAAUGCAAGAAAAGCUUGAGGAAGCCCAUGCAGCAAUUAUAAAUGAGAAAGAAGCUGCAAAGUUAGCAAUUGAACAGGCACCACCUAAGAUAGUAGAGGUGCCAGUGGUGGAUAACGCAAAAGUUGAGUUGUUGACAAGUCAAAACGAGGAACUUGAGACUGAGCUCGGUACGUUUAGAACGAAGGCUGAAGAUCUUGAGAAGAAGCUUUUUGAGAUUCAAAAACAGUCUGACGAAUUGUCACGUGAGACACAAGAACGGGACUCCAAAAUUAAUCAACUUCAAGACAUGAUCGCUAGGCUUGAAACAAAUUUAUCCAACAUGGAAUCUGAAAACCACGUUCUACGCCAACAAUCGUUGCUUGCGUCAGCAGAUGAUGAUAAUAAGACAAAACAAAUAGAGAGUCUGGAAAGCAAGAUUGCCAUCUUGGAGUCAGAGAAUCAGUUGCUCCGCAGCAAUCCUGCACCAGCUGUUCAAGCAGUAGUCACUCCUGAAGUGAUUGAGCCAGCUGUUGUGAAGGUUCUUGAGAAUGGACACCAGCAUGGAGAACCUAAAAUGGAGGAGGUGGUUGUUCCCCCAGUAAAGAAUUUAAGCAAACAACAGUCGCUGACGGACCGACAGCAAGAAAAUCAUGAUGUCCUUAUCAAAAGCCUGGCUGAAGACAGGAGAUAUGACAACAGAAGACCAGCUGCAGCAUGUAUUGUCUACAAAUCACUUCUUCACUGGCACUCAUUUGAAGCAGAAAAGACAAACAUAUUUGACCGUAUCAUCCAUACAAUUAGGUCAUAUGUUGAGAAUGCUGAAACUUCUGGAGAACUAGCUUAUUGGCUGUCGACAACAUCAACCCUCCUCUACCUUUUACAAAAUACACUUAAAGCUAGCAGUUCAUCUACUAAAGUACCAAAUCGCAGCAGGACCGCAACAGGCAACCUAUUCAAUAGAAUGGUGCAGAAUGCUCGAUCAUCAUCGUCAGGAUUAGGUAUUUCAAACGGAUACAGUGGAAUGGUAGGAAGAGCUGACACUACAUCAAUGAUAGAGGCUAAGUAUCCAGCUGUACGUUUCAAGCAACAGUUAACAGCAUAUGUCGAGAAGAUAUAUGGCAUGAUGAGAGAUAGCCUGAAAAGGGAAAUAAGUGCAAUAUUGACUCUCUGCAUACAGGCUCCAAGAGCUGGUCGUGUAAGAGCAUCUCGAGGAUCAUUGAAAAGUAUACACUCUAGUGCACUAUCAAGGCAAGCAUCAAGUGUGCAUUGGCAGAACAUUGUCAAGUGCCUGAAUCAUACACUGGAAACGAUGAACAAUAAUUAUGUACCUCCAAUGAUAAUUAGGAAAACAUUCAGUCAAGUAUUUGCAUUUAUGAACGUUCAACUCUUCAACAGUUUGCUACUUCGGCGUGAAUGCUGCUCCUUUAGCAAUGGAGAAUUCUUGAAGGCUGGUUUACAGGAACUGGAGCAAUGGUGCUCUAGAACAACUGAAGAGUAUGCAGGAACAUCUUGGGAUGAACUGCAACACAUAAGGCAGGCAGUUGGGUUCCUGGUUUUGCAUCAGAAAUCGCACAAGACACUGGAGGAAAUCACUGAUGAGCUUUGCCCCGUUCUGAGCAUCAGCCAAAUAUAUCGCAUCGGAACGAUGUUCUGGGAUGAUAAAUACGGUGCACAAGGUCUAUCCCAAGAGGUAAUUGGAAACAUGAGAACAAUGACGACAGAUGACUCGAUAACUACUCCGAACAGUUCUUUCUUACUAGAUGACGACUCAAGCAUACCGAUAUCCUUGGAUGAUAUAGCGCGACUGAUGCUCGACAUCAACCCGACUGACGUGGAGCCGCCACCACUACUGCGGCAGAACUCCCAGUUCCACUUUCUUCUGCAACAGCAUACAGACUGAUUACAUUACGUAUAUAAAGGAAAAUACGGACAGGAGGAGACUGGUGUGUUGAGAGCUACUGGAGGGGCGAAUGGAGGGGCUACCGCGCGCACCCAAUCUGUCCGCGCCGGUGAUCGCCGGUGCGGUGGACGGUUUUGGGCGCUAGCGGAGGCGGAGGAGGACGACGCGGAUGGAGAGGCGGACGAUCCGCCAUCGCCGCCGUCGCCUACGCCGUCGGACCACGUUAAUGACUGGUUCAAUGCCGGCUAUUCAGAGGAGGAGGUGGCGUCUGCGAUCGAUGAUGUUCUACCUAUCCAUGAUCCGGCCAGGUUGGGGAUCGACGCGGGCGAGAAGAUAGAGAUGGUCCGCCGGAGAACCUCGUCGGCGGCGAUCAAGCCAUGGAAAGGCCCUCUUCCUAAGGUACAGCCAAGGAUGCCUGCUGCUGAUGGGGGCGUGGGGCAGGUGGCCGCGCUUCCCUCAUCAGGGCCAGCGGUGGGGGAGCCUCCGAUGGUGCAGCUUGAGCCUUCGGUUGGGAGGCCGAGGUUGCUCGACCAGACACCUUUACUUCCUUCUUCCGGACCGGCGGUGCUGGCGAUGGAGUCGCGGCCCGGACGGGGCUCGGGGCAGGUGGCCUUGGUGGCCUCGGGGGCCUCUUCUCCUGUGGCGCCUCGAGGGCCUUGUGUGCCGGCGGCGCCAGUGCCGACAGUUCGCCCUUUGGCCGGGGUAGUGGGGGAGCUCGGGCAGGAGGCCAUGGCUCCUCCGUUCCCCGACAUGGUGCACCCCAGCAGAGCCUCUCGGGAGGAGGUGAUUGCUUUCGGUGGUAUGCCGGAUCCGGUUGCUGAGGGGCGACGGUUGAGCAGCCGUCUCCAGGACCAUCCGGAGGUGGACGACAUUCAGCAGCGGUGCGCCAUGAGGGCGGCCAAGCUUCGUGACGUGGAGGUCACUACGGGUUCUCUUCCGGGCUACUGCGCUAAUCCGUACGUGGUCAUUACUCACUCCGACGGAGGCCAGGGCGUGUUUGGUUACUGGAUCUGUCCGGUGGGAGAUGGUAGCGCGGGAUUUAUUCAACCGGUUUGGAUGGCGGUCAUGUAAUAGGAUAGGCGCGUAGUUUACCUAUCUCUCUUUACUAUGCCAGCCGGUUGUGGCUUUUGGGCCUUGUUUUAUUUUGCUUGCUCUGUGUGAGCCAGUAUCCUUUGUUGCAGCACUUUGCAAGACAUUGUUGAACUACUUUAUUUAUUUAUAAAUGUGGCCGUAUGCAUCUGUCU